CAUGUUGGGAAGAAAUUCCAUUCUUUGAAAAAAAAUGAUAAAAAUGUUGUGUUUUGUCAGGGAUGCAACCUCGUAUUAUUGAAUACGACUACAGAAAGAUUAUAAAAUUACAGAAAAAAGUGCGUUAUAAUUAUGAACGUAUUAGAAGAAAACCUGAUGCAAUUAUAUGAAAGCAGUCAAAAUAAUAAUUCCAAAAUGAGUGGUGUCAGUUUUGAUAUUCUUGGUGAUAUUUUGAUGUCGAAUGAAGUUCUGAUAAAAAACAACAAUGUUAUUUACGUAUAAUACAUUUUUUACGUAUAAUACGUCAGAAACCUCGAGUGACGCAUCACUGCACAACCCUGGCCAAAGAUAGUUUGAGCAAAGAUAUUAUGUCCUAGAUACGGUAUGAGAUUAGUUGCACCACAUACCGGU